rnacentral:lncRNA from 1 species
CAAUUUUAAAAAGUAUAUAUAUUUUUUAAAUGUUAUGCUGUAUAACAAAUUCAGUUAUUGAAUUAGAUUUUGAUUAAUUUUUUCAAUAGUAAUAACUUGAAAUGUCAUUUAAUAUAAUAUGUUAUCUAAAUGCUUUUGAAAUGCAAUGUUUAAGAUUAUAAAAUUUGUGAUUUUCUUCAUAUUGCAUUGUAAUUUCAACAAAUAGCAAUAUUUUAAAGUUGUUUUUAAGACUUUAAUUUGUAAAAGUUAUUUUUUCUUAAUAUAAAAUUUCCUUAUCGUGUAGAAUUUCAAUAAUAAUUUUUUGGGGAGAUGCUUCUUGUUGCCAUGAUUCAACCACUUAAUUGCUAUUGCCAUGCUUUUGUAACAGAUGGGAAUUUAGAAGUAAUCUACAUCAGAAAAAUGAAUUUAUGGCAUACCAAAUCAAAGGUAACAGAUGUGGAUGUUAAAUUCAUUAUUAAUUGGUAUCAAAACAACAAAAAUAAUUUUAUCAAUAUAGCAAACAUUUUUAUUCCUACAAAUUUAAAUUAAAUCAUAUUAAUUUUAAUAUUUUUACACUGGCACUUAAAUUGGUUUUAUCAGUUUGCUAGC